AAGACACCACCCCAGCCAGCAUGGCCGGCAGGAGCGCACCGCGCUGUCUCCCUCCAGGGAUCCGCACCGCCCUACAAUCCUGCUUUGUGCUGAGAUUGUAGUCCUGCAGGCGUACAACUAACAAGCUGGGUGCAGAUAAGAGACUACAGCUCCCCGCAUCCCAAGCAAAGGUCCCUCCUCUACGGAGCCCCUCCACGCGUCCACUGCGGUUCCGCCGUGCCAAGGGGAGCUUGGCUGUUCACGGGCCUCACCUGCUAGCGAGAAGAUAGCUUGGCCGGGCGGCUGAUCUCACCUUGUAAUUCUGACACUGUGUCUCCCGGGCUUGUCGGCUUCAUGACUUGUGCCCAAAGUUUGAUUUCUCGCAGACCAGGAGGACCCAUUGGACCCCCGGGCUGGCUGCAGGGCCCACACCUGGGUUAGACCUCGCACAGGGACGCUGCUGCCACUGUAAUAAAGCGUGCCUACACGCUUCUGAAACUGGUGUAGGAACAACCUCAGUUCUGUGAAAGGCGGACGCAGCAGGACAGAAUCUCCGUGGACAUCUGUCUGGAGGAGCAAUUUUACUGCGACAUUUUAAAGAAACAAAUUUAAUUGAUUUCCAAGGCUUGAGUGUGAUUAAAAAAAAAAAAUUAAAAGGUAAACUUCACCGUGCAGGAAGAAGCAUAGGAAAAGAGAGAGAGAAAAGAACAAAGAAAAAAAAGAAUAGCAAGUCUCUCCAAGUACUAUGGAAACAAACAGAAAGUGGAAUUAGGAAAAAAGAGAGGAAGAAGGUCUGAGUAGUCCAAGGGACACGGGAGGCCAGUUGGGAAGACCGCCCGGGCGAGACCAGGAAGAUCAAGGCCACAGUGAAUCACGAUCCCAUCCCUCUGCUCAACCUGAAUUGUACUGCUGCUGGCGAGAGAGAUCUGGUCGACCUUAGACAUGGCAAGGCGAGAGGCUGGAGUGUGACAAAGGAAAAUCUAAAAGGUCAACUUCAUUUACAGGAAAGAGCAUAGGAAAACAGACAAAAGAACAAAGAAGAA
ensembl:lncRNA LINC00662 long intergenic non-protein coding RNA 662